rnacentral:rRNA from 1 species
GGGGAAACCCUGACGCAGCAACGCCGCGUGGGCGACGAAGGUCUUCGGAUUGUAAAGCCCUGUCUUCUGGGACGAUAAUGACGGUACCAGAGGAGGAAGCCACGGCUAACUACGUGCCAGCAGCCGCGGUAAUACGUAGGUGGCAAGCGUUGUCCGGAAUUACUGGGCGUAAAGGGUGCGUAGGCGGAUAUUUAAGUGGGAUGUGAAAUACCUGAGCUCAACUCGGGUGCUGCAUUCCAAACUGGAUAUCUAGAGUGCAGGAGAGGAGAAUGGAAUUCCUAGUGUAGCGGUGAAAUGCGUAGAGAUUAGGAAGAACACCAGUGGCGAAGGCGAUUCUCUGGACUGUAACUGACGCUGAGGCACGAAAGCGUGGGUAGCAAACAGGAUUAGAUACCCUGGUAGUCCACGCCGUAAACUAUGAAUACUAGGUGUAGGGGGGAACCUCCCUCUGUGCCGCAGUUAACACAAUAAGUAUUCCGCCUGGGGAGUAC